UAGGCUGGUUUUCCAGGCAAAUCCGGAAAAUCAAGGCUGAGGCGUGAUGACGAGGCACUACGGUGCUGAAGCGACAAAUGCCCUGCUUCCAGGAAAAGCCUCUAAGCAUCAGGUAACAUCAAAUCGUACCCCAAACCGACACAGGUGGUCAGGUAGAGAAUACCAAGGCGCUUGAGAGAACUCGGGUGAAGGAACUAGGCAAAAUGGUGCCGUAACUUCGGGAGAAGGCACGCUGAUAUGUAGGUGAAGCGACUUGCUCGUGGAGCUGAAAUCAGUCGAAGAUACCAGCUGGCUGCAACUGUUUAUUAAAAACACAGCACUGUGCAAACACGAAAGUGGACGUAUACGGUGUGACGCCUGCCCGGUGCCGGAAGGUUAAUUGAUGGGGUUAGCGGUAACGCGAAGCUCUUGAUCGAAGCCCCGGUAAACGGCGGCCGUAACUAUAACGGUCCUAAGGUAGCGAAAUUCCUUGUCGGGUAAGUUCCGACCUGCACGAAUGGCGUAAUGAUGGCCAGGCUGUCUCCACCCGAGACUCAGUGAAAUUGAACUCGCUGUGAAGAUGCAGUGUACCCGCGGCAAGACGGAAAGACCCCGUGAACCUUUACUAUAGCUUGACACUGAACAUUGAGCCUUGAUGUGUAGGAUAGGUGGGAGGCUUUGAAGUGUGGACGCCAGUCUGCAUGGAGCCGACCUUGAAAUACCACCCUUUAAUGUUUGAUGUUCUAACGUGGGCCCCUUACCGGGGUUGCGGACAGUGUCUGGUGGGUAGUUUGACUGGGGCGGUCUCCUCCUAAAGAGUAACGGAGGAGCACGAAGGUUGGCUAAUCCUGGUCGGACAUCAGGAGGUUAGUGCAAUGGCAUAAGCCAGCUUGACUGCGAGCGUGACGGCGCGAGCAGGUGCGAAAGCAGGUCAUAGUGAUCCGGUGGUUCUGAAUGGAAGGGCCAUCGCUCAACGGAUAAAAGGUACUCCGGGGAUAACAGGCUGAUACCGCCCAAGAGUUCAUAUCGACGGCGGUGUUUGGCACCUCGAUGUCGGCUCAUCACAUCCUGGGGCUGAAGUAGGUCCCAAGGGUAUGGCUGUUCGCCAUUUAAAGUGGUACGCGAGCUGGGUUUAGAACGUCGUGAGACAGUUCGGUCCCUAUCUGCCGUGGGCGCUGGAGAACUGAGGGGGGCUGCUCCUAGUACGAGAGGACCGGAGUGGACGCAUCACUGGUGUUCGGGUUGUCAUGCCAAUGGCACUGCCCGGUAGCUAAAUGCGGAAGAGAUAAGUGCUGAAAGCAUCUAAGCACGAAACUUGCCCCGAGAUGAGUUCUCCCUGAGACUUAGAGUCUCCUGAAGGAACGUUGAAGACGACGACGUUGAUAGGCCGGGUGUGUAAGCGCAGCGAUGCGUUGAGCUAACCGGUACUAAUGAACCGUGAGGCUUAACCUUACAACGCCGAAG
rnacentral:rRNA from 1 species